rnacentral:pre_miRNA from 1 species
AAAGUACACCCUCCGUCCCAAAAUUCUUGUCUUAGAUUUGUCUAGAUACAGAUGUAUCAAGUCACAGAUACAUCCGUAUCUAGACAAAUCUAAGACAAGAAAUUUGGGACAGAGGGAGUAGUUG